rfam:Astyanax mexicanus Tnplaced_Scaffold_178, whole genome shotgun sequence.
GUCUCCCGUGCCUGCUGUGCUGAUAAUCAGUGUCUGUUUCCAGCUGGCUCAGUUCAGCAGGAACAGGGG